rnacentral:lncRNA from 1 species
UAGGAUUUCAGCAUUAGGUUCUGGAAUUGUUUCCACAACAUCAUCUUGUCCAGUAGGAUGGCCACCCUAUGCAUCACUCAAUCUUGUCCUUCGAUGGUAAGUCUAAACGAUUGGAGGUCGUCCUUCCAAAGAAGAAGUGUUGGUGGGAGUAGAAACUGCACUUACGUCUGGUCUAUGAGGAACAGCAGCGGGUGUAAUAUCCCAUAGCAACAAUUCCAGCUGUGACUGUGGUUGCGUAGAAGUGUUAGGAGCAGUGUCCCCCCCC